ACUUGAGCACGCUGACUCUCCUUAGCAAGAGCGUCGCCCUCCACGCCUUCUGAGCAGCUCAGGUUCCGUAGCGCCCUCGUGUGUCUGGAGGGAGAAACGUCCUGGGUUUGAGUUGGACGAUGUUACUGGGGCACAGGGAGAAGUCUGGCCGAGCAUUGGAACUUUUUACAGGCGCCAGGAAUGAAUGGGAGAACUCAAGAUGAAUUCUUGAUGCCUUCUCAGAGGAGAGUUAGUGGCGGCACGUGAAAGGAUCCAGAAUAAACCAUAAGCAGUCGAAAUCCAAGGCCAAAAGAAGCUGACGUCACCCCCAUGUUUGCACGCCCAUGAUUUCUGGAUCCCAGCCCCUGGAACAGUACUGCUCUCUUUCAGGACCGGUCCAUCUCUCUUCAAUUGAACCUUUCUGAGAAAGCUCUCACAGUCAUGACCAGAGGUAUGUCUCAUAGGAGCUUCUAAUGUUGGUCAGGUUGACAAUGAAGAUGAGCCAUCACAGCCAGGGUUUGGAAACCAUCAGAGGAAGCAUGUGUGUUCCAGGGAGCGUAUGAGUUGCGGAUACGUGUGGACAAUUGACCAUCGCUGCCAGGUACCCAGGUGGGCAGGAAGAAAAUCUGCCUGACACACCCCCCUAACAGUCCUGCAGUGAGAUCACAUAUAGAACUGAAGUGUUGGGCUGGCGAGAUGGCUCAGCGGGUAAGAGCACUGACUGCUCUUCCUAAGGUCCUGAGUACGGAUCCCAGCAACCACAUGGUGGCUCACAACCACCCGUAAUGAGAUCUGACACCUUCUUCUGGUGCAUCUGAAGACAGCUACAGUGUAUUAAGCCAGAUUCUGAGUUCAAUCCCAGCAGCCACAUCUGUACAGAGAUGUACUGUACUACAGAGUACUCAUACACAUAAUAGAUACAUAAAUAAAUAAAUAAACAAACUGCA